UACGUAGGGUGCAAGCGUUGUCCGGAAUUAUUGGCGUAAGGGCUCGUAGGCGGUGUGUCACGUCGUUCGUGAAAACCUGCAGCUUAACUGUGGGCGUGCGGUCGAUACGGGCAUCACUGGAGUUCGGCAGGGGAGACUGGAAUUCCUGGUGUAGCGGUGAAAUGCGCAGAUAUCAGGAGGAACACCGGUGGCGAAGGCGGGUCUCUGGGCCGAUACUGACGCUGGAGGAAGCGGAAAGCGUGGGGAGCAAACAGG
rnacentral:rRNA from 1 species